CUGAAAAUGUCCAUAAAACCUCAAAAGUCACUCAAAUUGAAACAAUAUUUUGUUAAACGUUAUGGUUCACUACAAACUACUAUUCCUUAACGGGAUUUUCGUUGCAAAUUGAUAUAAGCUUAUUUAAAUAAAUGAUGAAAAACUGAAAAAUAUACCUAAAAUUAUCUCCCUUUGUAAAACUCUUCACAAUAAAAGUCAGAUUUAUUGUCAAUAACAGAAGGAGGGAAAUCAACAAAUGUGCAAAAGGAUAGACAAUAAUGGUAUUUUUGAUGAAUAUGGUGUAGCCAAAAACUUAUUUCAUUGAAAGAGUGUAACAAAAACAUAGUAAACCAUGUGGCCAAGACAUUCCAACUGCCAUUGGGAUAAGUCUGAUCCUGAUCAGAUAGUCUAGACAUGACAUGAGGCUAGACUCACUAUCAGACUAUCUGAUAAUCAUGUCUAGGUUUCAGACUCACAUAACAUAAUGUUAAAUGCAUAUGCUGCAAACAUGGACAGGAGUUGGAUUGCAGUGGACAAGAAGACAAAAUGAGUUGCUGUCAUCCUUUCAUGACCCUUGCAAAUCUAGCAACGAAAAUUCGUAGGCAAAACGUUCAGUUUCAUUUGGUUCUGGUUAAUGUUGAAGAUGGAAAAGCACAAAAAAAAUAUAAAAAUGAAAGCAGAUACAUGUAUGAUAGGAGAUCUUAUAGAUAUUUGGUGAUCCAAAAAUAACUGGAGUUCAUGAAACAAGACUGAUUGCUGGGACACAUUUUUGUUGAUAAACAUGUUUAUGAUGAAGAAAAACUUAGAUAAUAUUACGGAUACUUGAAUAAGGCUCUGAUCUGUCUUUGAUUUUUCCUGUUGGUGUCAAAAAAUUGCAAGCUCAAAUAAAAAUAAAUUGAAAUGGAACUCAUGGAUAUGCUUUGAAAAAAAGAAAUAAACAGCAAUGUGAAUCUUGCCGAAGUCUUACCAACAACCAAGUCAACACACAGUUGCAACACAAAUGAGAAGAGAGAGACAUUUGCAAGGACUUAGAGUGUUCUCACUGUCUCACCAUUAGAAUGGCUUUCUCAUCAGCAAAGAAGAAGUCUAAAAAUUACUUCUGCAUUAAAAGGUCAUCAAUAUUGAAGACAAUCAAGAAGAUUACGGUUGUACUUGGCCAUUUGAUAAACAUUAUAAUAUUUUCAUUUGUCAGAAAUUGUUACUUAGAUUGACUAACUAGUUUUAUUGAUUGAAUUAUUAGUAAAUUACCUUUCGUAGUUCAUGUAGUUACAUGUAUGUAAAUCUUUAUCAGAUAGUAUGGAAAUAAUUUAAUACAUCCCUAAAUUCCAUACCUAAUGCAACAAUUGUCUUGUGCUGCUAAGUCAAUUUGAAUUAACUUUUAUGUAUGUUUAUAGUAAUCUUAUUCUUGCAUUUAAGCAUCAUUUUGUGUUAUUGUAUCAUCUACAUUGAUUGUUAAAUAUAAUACUAAUGGUAUAAAUAAAAUAACAUUUCUGAUCAUUUAAACACAGAUUGAAAUAUUUAUAAAUAUAUCAAUGCUAAAAGGAAUUUAGACUUUUUUCGAGGAGAAUUUAAGAAAGUACUACAACAAAAGCAAACGAAUAGUAUAUGCUCAACUGCAAUAUUAACUUUCUCACCAGAUAACCUAAUAGAGAUAUAUUUGUAUUUUAUUAAAUUGAUGAAGCGUAUGUUAGUUUAAAUAAAUAUGUACAUGCAAUUUUAAGGUUUUAGAAAAACAACAUUUUUAUUGGAUUAUCUCCCUUUGUACAAUAGAAAUUCAGAUUUUA